CAUCAGCCCUGAUAGCAAAAGUAGGAAAAAGUCCAGCUAGAUCAUUGCACAUUUGCCAUCUUCUCCACUAGUGCCAGAAAAUUGCUCAUUUUAAUCUUUUUUACUCAAGAAAAAAAUAUCAAUAUAUUUUGAUAAAGGUAGUUGGGUUAAACAGGAUUUCAAUAGUCCUUCUUUAACCUCCAAUCUGUUUAGAAACCAUUCUUGAGCAGCAAUACUUCUUUGCCUGAAACUGAACUGCCCAUUCCAUUGGUUUUCUCGCCAAAAAGUUGAAGAAGAAUCUAUAAAAACUGAGAGUUUUUAAUUGCUAUUAUUUUAAUAGCUUUAGGGAGGUAUCGUUAACAUACAGCCAACUGCAAAUAUUUAAAGUAUACAACUUGAUUUGGUAAGUUUGGACAUAUGAAUCCACCUCUGAAACACCAAAGCUUCCUUGUAUUAAUACCUCUUUGAAAUGUCUUUCUACCAUUCCUGCCCCGUGGUCUCUAGGCAACCACAGAUUUGCUUUCUCUCACUCUAGAUUAGUUCACAUGUUCUAGAAUUUUACAUCAGUGGAAUCCUACAAUAUAAAUCUUUUUUGCUUGGCUUCUUUCACUCAGCAUAAUCAUUUUAAAAUUUAUUUGUGUUCAUCAGAAUCUACCCUUAAACAUAAAGCUUGCUUCAAAUGACCAAGAGAAGAAUUCAUAGAACUUGACCCAUUUGCCAGGUGCAGUGGCUCACGCCUGUAAUCCCAGCACUUUGG
rnacentral:lncRNA from 1 species